GAUGAACGCUGGCGGCGUGCCUAAUACAUGCCAGUCGAGCGAACAGACGAGGAGCUUGCUCCUCUGACGUUAGCGGCGGACGGGUGAGUAACACGUGGAUAACCUACCUAUAAGACUGGGAUAACUUCGGGAAACCGGAGCUAAUACCGGAUAAUAUAUUGAACCGCAUGGUUCAAUAGUGAAAGACGGUUUUGCUGUCACUUAUAGAUGGAUCCGCGCCGCAGUAGCUAGUUGGUAAGGUAACGGCUUACCAAGGCGACGAUGCGUAGCCGACCUGAGAGGGUGAUCGGCCACACUGGAACUGAGACACGGUCCAGACUCCUACGGGAGGCAGCAGUAGGGAAUCUUCCGCAAUGGGCGAAAGCCUGACGGAGCAACGCCGCGUGAGUGAUGAAGGUCUUCGGAUCGUAAAACUCUGUUAUUAGGGAAGAACAAAUGUGUAAGUAACUAUGCACGUCUUGACGGUACCUAAUCAGAAAGCCACGGCUAACUACGUG
rnacentral:rRNA from 1 species